rnacentral:rRNA from 1 species
GAAUCCCGUAUAUGGCACGGACUGCCGUUGCUCUGCGAUACACUCUCAACGAGUCGAGUUGUUUGGGAAUGCAGCUCCAAAUGGGUGGUAAAUGCCAUCUAAAGCUAAAUAUUGGCGAGAGACCGAUAGCGAACAAGUACCGUGAGGGAAAGAUGAAAAGCACUUUGGAAAGAGAGUGAAACAGUACGUGAAAUUGUUGAAAGGGAAACACUUGAAGUCAGUCGCGCCGUUCGGGACUCAGCCUUGCUUCUGCUUGGUUUACUUCCCGUUGGGUGGGUCAACAUCAGUUUUGGUCGGAGGAGAAAGGCCUGUGGAAGGUAGCAGCUUUGCUGUGUUAUAGCCACCUGUUGUAUACUUCGACUGGGACUGAGGAUCGCAGCACGCCUUUGGCCGGGGCUUUGCCCACGUACGUGCUUAGGAUGUUGGCAUAAUGGCUUUAAGUGACCCGUCUUGAAACACGGACCAAGGAGUCUAACAUGUGCGCGAGUGUUUGGGUGUUAAACUCGGACGCGAAAUGAAAGUAACAAGUUGGGAACACUUUUGUGUGCACCGACGCCCGGAGCUGACCUUCUGUGACGCAUCUGCGGUAGAGCGUAUAUGUUGGGACCCGAAAGAUGGUGAACUAUGCCUGAAUAGGGUGAAGCCAGAGGAAACUCUGGUGGAGGCUCGUAGCGAUUCUGACGUGCAAAUCGAUCGUCAAAUUUGGGUAUAGGGGCGAAAGACUAAUCGAACCAUCUAGUAGCUGGUUCCUGCC